UACGUAGGGGGCAAGCGUUGUCCGGAUUUAUUGGGCGUAAAGAGCGUGUAGGCGGCUUCACAGGUCCGCUGUGAAAACUCGAGGCUCAACCUCGAGAUGUCGGUGGAAACCGUGUGGCUAGAGUCCGGAAGAGGAGAGUGGAAUUCCCGGUGUAGCGGUGAAAUGCGCAGAUAUCGGGAAGAACACCCGUGGCGAAGGCGGCUCUCUGGGACGGUACUGACGCUGAGACGCGGAAAGCGUGGGGAGCGA
rnacentral:rRNA from 1 species